rnacentral:rRNA from 1 species
UGAGUGCUAGUGUUAGGGGGUUUCCGCCCCUUAGUGCUGCAGCUAACGCAUUAAGCACUCCGCCUGGGGAGUACGGUCGCAAGACUGAAACUCAAAGGAAUUGACGGGGGCCCGCACAAGCGGUGGAGCAUGUGGUUUAAUUCGAAGCAACGCGAAGAACCUUACCAGGUCUUGACAUCCUCUGACAACCCUAGAGAUAGGGCUUUCCCUUCGGGGACAGAGUGACAGGUGGUGCAUGGUUGUCGUCAGCUCGUGCCGA